GCAUUGGUGGUUCAGUGGAAGAAUUCUCAUCUUCCGUGUGGGGGACUGGGGUUCAAUUCCUGAUCAGUGCA
rnacentral:tRNA from 1 species